rnacentral:rRNA from 1 species
GGCCGAAAGGCGUAGUCGAUGGGAAACGGGUUAAUAUUCCCGUACUUGGUGUUACUGCGAAGGGGGGACGGAGAAGGCUAUGUUGGCCGGGCGACGGUUGUCCCGGUUUAAGCGUGUAGGUGUGUGUUCCAGGUAAAUCCGGUUCACUUUAACACUGAGGCGUGAUGACGAGGCACUACGGUGCUGAAGCAACAAAUGCCCUGCUUCCAGGAAAAGCCUCUAAGCAUCAGGUAACAUCAAAUCGUACCCCAAACCGACACAGGUGGUCAGGUAGAGAAUACCAAGGCGCUUGAGAGAACUCGGGUGAAGGAACUAGGCAAAAUGGUGCCGUAACUUCGGGAGAAGGCACGCUGACACGUAGGUGAAGUGAUUUACUCAUGGAGCUGAAGUCAGUCGAAGAUACCAGCUGGCUGCAACUGUUUAUUAAAAACACAGCACUGUGCAAACACGAAAGUGGACGUAUACGGUGUGACGCCUGCCCGGUGCCGGAAGGUUAAUUGAUGGGGUCAGCGCAAGCGAAGCUCCUGAUCGAAGCCCCGGUAAACGGCGGCCGUAACUAUAACGGUCCUAAGGUAGCGAAAUUCCUUGUCGGGUAAGUUCCGACCUGCACGAAUGGCGUAAUGAUGGCCAGGCUGUCUCCACCCGAGACUCAGUGAAAUUGAACUCGCUGUGAAGAUGCAGUGUACCCGCGGCAAGACGGAAAGACCCCGUGAACCUUUACUAUAGCUUGACACUGAACAUUGAGCCUUGAUGUGUAGGAUAGGUGGGAGGCUUUGAAGUGUGGACGCCAGUCUGCAUGGAGCCGACCUUGAAAUACCACCCUUUAAUGUUUGAUGUUCUAACGUGGACCCGUUACCCGGGUUGCGGACAGUGUCUGGUGGGUAGUUUGACUGGGGCGGUCUCCUCCUAAAGAGUAACGGAGGAGCACGAAGGUUGGCUAAUCCUGGUCGGACAUCAGGAGGUUAGUGCAAUGGCAUAAGCCAGCUUGACUGCGAGCGUGACGGCGCGAGCAGGUGCGAAAGCAGGUCAUAGUGAUCCGGUGGUUCUGAAUGGAAGGGCCAUCGCUCAACGGAUAAAAGGUACUCCGGGGAUAACAGGCUGAUACCGCCCAAGAGUUCAUAUCGACGGCGGUGUUUGGCACCUCGAUGUCGGCUCAUCACAUCCUGGGGCUGAAGUAGGUCCCAAGGGUAUGGCUGUUCGCCAUUUAAAGUGGUACGCGAGCUGGGUUUAGAACGUCGUGAGACAGUUCGGUCCCUAUCUGCCGUGGGCGCUGGAGAACUGAGGGGGGCUGCUCCUAGUACGAGAGGACCGGAGUGGACGCAUCACUGGUGUUCGGGUUGUCAUGCCAAUGGCACUGCCCGGUAGCUAAAUGCGGAAGAGAUAAGUGCUGAAAGCAUCUAAGCACGAAACUUGCCCCGA